rnacentral:rRNA from 1 species
AACGAACGCUGGCGGCAUGCCUAACACAUGCAAGUCGAACGAGACCUUCGGGUCUAGUGGCGCACGGGUGCGUAACGCGUGGGAACCUGCCCUUAGGUUCGGAAUAACUCCCCGAAAGGGGUGCUAAUACCGGAUAAUGUCUUCGGACCAAAGAUUUAUCGCCUUUGGAUGGGCCCGCGUUGGAUUAGCUAGUUGGUAGGGUAAAAGCCUACCAAGGCGACGAUCCAUAGCUGGUCUGAGAGGAUGAUCAGCCACACUGGGACUGAGACACGGCCCAGACUCCUACGGGAGGCAGGAGGGGGGGAUAGUGGAACAUGGGGGGAAGGCUGAACCAGCCAUGCCGGGGGAGUGAUGAAGGCCUUAAGGUUGUAAAGCUUUUUUAACCGGGAUGAUAAUGACAGUACCGGGAGAAAAAGCCCCGGCUAACUCCGUG